rnacentral:lncRNA from 1 species
GUUAGUGAUGCUCUUAUUCAAGUGGUUUUGGUUUGGCUGCCUCUGACACUUUAUUCCAUGUUGCCUAAUAGUUUUAAAAGCCCCUAUUUUAUAGUCAGUGCAUCUUUCUGUGGGUCCCCAGAGAAGGGAAGACUGUGAGACAUUGAACUUCACUUCCUCCUUGGAAGCUAGAUUUGGCCAUGUGAUUAGCUACAGUUAAUGUUUGUAAGUGGAAGCCUUAAAAGUUGAUGUGCAAU